UUAAUUUGAGAGUUUGAUCCUGGCUCAGGACGAACGCUGGCGGCGUGCCUAAUACAUGCAAGUCGAACGAACUCUGGUAUUGAUUGGUGCUUGCAUCAUGAUUUACAUUUGAGUAAGUGGCGAACUGGUGAGUAACACGUGGGAAACCUGCCCAGAAGCGGGGGAUAAUACCUGGAAACAGAUGCUAAUACCGCAUAACAACUUGGACCGCAUGGUCCGAGUUUGAAAGAUGGCUUCGGCUAUCACUUUUGGAUGGUCCCGCGGCGUAUUAGCUAGAUGGUGAGGUAACGGCUCACCAUGGCAAUGAUACGUAGCCGACCUGAGAGGGUAAUCGGCCACAUUGGGACUGAGACACGGCCCAAACUCCUACGGGAGGCAGCAGUAGGGAAUCUUCCACAAUGGACGAAAGUCUGAUGGAGCAACGCCGCGUGAGUGAAGAAGGGUUUCGGCUCGUAAAACUCUGUUGUUAAAGAAGAACAUAUCUGAGAGUAACUGUUCAGGUAUUGACGGUAUUUAACCAGAAAGCCACGGCUAACUACGUGCCAGCAGCCGCGGUAAUACGUAGGUGGCAAGCGUUGUCCGGAUUUAUUGGGCGUAAAGCGAGCGCAGGCGGUUUUUUAAGUCUGAUGUGAAAGCCUUCGGCUCAACCGAAGAAGUGCAUCGGAAACUGGGAAACUUGAGUGCAGAAGAGGACAGUGGAACUCCAUGUGUAGCGGUGAAAUGCGUAGAUAUAUGGAAGAACACCAGUGGCGAAGGCGGCUGUCUGGUCUGUAACUGACGCUGAGGCUCGAAAGUAUGGGUAGCAAACAGGAUUAGAUACCCUGGUAGUCCAUACCGUAAACGAUGAAUGCUAAGUGUUGGAGGGUUUCCGCCCUUCAGUGCUGCAGCUAACGCAUUAAGCAUUCCGCCUGGGGAGUACGGCCGCAAGGCUGAAACUCAAAGGAAUUGACGGGGGCCCGCACAAGCGGUGGAGCAUGUGGUUUAAUUCGAAGCUACGCGAAGAACCUUACCAGGUCUUGACAUACUAUGCAAAUCUAAGAGAUUAGACGUUCCCUUCGGGGACAUGGAUACAGGUGGUGCAUGGUUGUCGUCAGCUCGUGUCGUGAGAUGUUGGGUUAAGUCCCGCAACGAGCGCAACCCUUAUUAUCAGUUGCCAGCAUUAAGUUGGGCACUCUGGUGAGACUGCCGGUGACAAACCGGAGGAAGGUGGGGAUGACGUCAAAUCAUCAUGCCCCUUAUGACCUGGGCUACACACGUGCUACAAUGGAUGGUACAACGAGUUGCGAACUCGCGAGAGUAAGCUAAUCUCUUAAAGCCAUUCUCAGUUCGGAUUGUAGGCUGCAACUCGCCUACAUGAAGUCGGAAUCGCUAGUAAUCGCGGAUCAGCACGCCGCGGUGAAUACGUUCCCGGGCCUUGUACACACCGCCCGUCACACCAUGAGAGUUUGUAACACCCAAAGUCGGUGGGGUAACCUUUUAGGAACCAGCCGCCUAAGGUGGGACAGAUGAUUAGGGUGAAGUCGUAACAAGGUAGCCGUAGGAGAACCUGCGGCUGGAUCACCUCCUUUCUAAGGAA
rnacentral:rRNA from 2 species